rnacentral:rRNA from 1 species
GAGUAGGAAGGACGCACCGGUGGCAUUGAAGGUGUCCGACGUGGGUCGGCCUGGAGCCGCCGGUGGUGCAGAUCUUGGUGGUAGUAGCAAAUACUCAAGUGAGACCCUUGAGGACCAAUGUGGAGAAGGGUUCCAUGUGAACAGCAGUUGAACAUGGGUCAGUCGGUCCUAAGGCAUGCGGAGAAAUCCGUUCCAAAGUCCCAGAUUAUUCUUGCCCAGGAUUUUCUUAGUGGUCUGCGGUGAAUGCCGAAAGGGAAUUGGGUUAAUAUUCCCAAACCUAGACAUGGAGAUAAGUUCUUAAGGAACUCAGUGCGGUAACGCAAACGAGCUCAGAGACGUCGGCGGGAGCCCUGGGGAGAGUUGUCUUUUCUUUGUAAGGUUCUGAUUCCCUGGAAGCGGUUUACCCGGAGAUAGGGAGGAAAGAACCGUAAAGCACUGCGGCUCUUGCAGUGUCCAGAGUGCUCUCGUCGGCCCGUGAAAAUCUGAGUAAGGUAGUGUUAUUUUCAUGCUAGCCCGUACCCAUAUCCGCAGCAGG